rnacentral:rRNA from 1 species
CGCGUAGGCGGUUUCGCGAGUCGGGUGUGAAAUCCCCGGGCUUAACCUGGGAACUGCAUCCGAUACUGCGUGACUUGAGUAUGAUAGAGGGAAGCGGAAUUCCGGGUGUAGCGGUGAAAUGCGUAGAUAUCCGGAGGAACACCAGUGGCGAAGGCGGCUUCCUGGAUCAAUACUGACGCUGAGGCGCGAAAGCGUGGGGAGCAAACA